AUUGAACGCUGGCGGCAGGCUUAACACAUGCAAGUCGAACGAGUGGCGGACGGGUGAGUAAUGCUUGGGAAUCUGGCUUAUGGAGGGGGAUAACUACGGGAAACGGUAGCUAAUACCGCGUACCAUAGGAUGAGCCCAUGUGGGAUUAGGUAGUUGGUGAGGUAACGGCUCACCAAGGCGACGAUCUCUAGCUGGUCUGAGAGGAUGACCAGCCACACUGGGACUGAGACACGGCCCAGACUCCUACGGGAGGCAGCAGUGGGGAAUAUUGCGCAAUGGGGGCAACCUGACGCAGCCAUGCCGCGUGAAUGAAGAAGGCCUUCGGGUUGUAAAGUUCUUUCGGUAGCGAGGCGUUAACUACAGAAGAAGCACCGGCUAACUCCGUGCCAGCAGCCGCGGUAAUUC
rnacentral:rRNA from 1 species